CGCACGGAAUGCAGUUUGUGCAGUUUAUUCUUCGUUAAACAUACCAAUAUCAUUAAUCUAAGCCGUAUUUUAUAAGUAGAUUUUUAAAUUUAACCUUUCCAAAUUAGUUUCGUAAAAAUGGUUUAUGUGGUUACCUUCCAAACAGCAAACCAUUGGCGAAUAUAACCAAGUGUCCCAUUAAACAAGCUUGUUGUAAGUUAGGGGUAACACUUUGCUCGAAUGUGCACUCGAAUACCCAUAGUUGAAGCCUUGAACAUUUGCAAAUGAUGUCGUAGUAAGAUGUUGCACAUUGUUUGACCUUUCCAUUUUACGCUUGAAAAUCCAUAUUUUCUACUCCCGGCGGA